GCAAAUACAUUUUUUCCAGUUUACCUGAUGAAAUUUGUCUGGACAUUGUAAGGAUCCAACUCACAAGGAAGUCCAAAUUCAAGCUGCUCAUAUGAAAAGAAAAAGCUGAAGAUUUUGAAAAGGAUGCCUGGUUCACUGGCCACAAACUGAAGUGCUUCUGCCUGCAUAGACCGUAUCAAUCCAUUCUUCAGUUCCAAGGAACAUGAAAAAAUAACACAUAUCAAAGAACAGCUGCAGGAGUUUAUGUUGAUCAGGCCAGUCGACUCAGCUUGUGACCCAUUAGAAGCCUGACUGUUUUCUGUAAAAUUGGUUUCCAGACAGCUCUUCCCAAUCAUGAGUCUGGUAGACAAUUACUGUUUCCUACUUUAUGCUGUUGUACAUGUCACUGUUAAAUAUAU